rnacentral:rRNA from 1 species
CUUACGAGCUUGAGCUUGUUGAGCGCGUCGCCGUGCAGCGGCGUCCCCGUGCCGCCACAUUCUCGGAGGACCUCCUCCCUGAGCUUCUGCUGCCAUUCGGGGUGUGUGCCGAGGAGGAAGAUAGCCCAGGUGAGGAGGUGCGCGGUGGUGUCGUGCCCGGCGAAGAAGAAGGUCUUGCACUCGUCGAUGAUGUCGUCCAUGCUCAUGGCGGCAACCUUCUGCCCGCCUGCUCCGGCCGACGUGUUGGCCUCGAGCAUCAGACCAAGCAAGUCGUUGCCGUAG